rnacentral:rRNA from 1 species
AACGAACGCUGGCGGCAUGCCUAACACAUGCAAGUCGAACGAGACCUUCGGGCCUAGUGGCGCACGGGUGCGUAACGCGUGGGAACCUGCCCUUAGGUUCGGAAUAACUCUCCGAAAGGGGUGCUAAUACCGGAUAAUGUCUUCGGACCAAAGAUUUAUCGCCUUUGGAUGGGCCCGCGUUGGAUUAGCUAGUUGGUAGGGUAAUAGCCUACCAAGGCGACGAUCCAUAGCUGGUGUGAGAGGAUGAUCAGCCACACUGGGACUGAGACACGGCCCAGACUCCUACGGGAGGCAGCAGUGGGGAAUCUUGGACAAUGGGGGAAAGCCUGAUCCAGCAAUGCCGCGUGAGUGAUGAAGGCCUUAGGGUUGUAAAGCUCUUUUACCCGGGAUGAUAAUGACGGUACCGGGAGAAUAAGCUCCGGCUAACUCCGUG